AGGAGAAAAAAGAAGAAGAAGAAGAAGAAGAAGAAGAAGAAGAAAAAGAAUAGGAGGAGAAAAAGAGGAGGGGGGAGGAGGAGAAAAAAGAACAAGAAGAAGAAGAAGAAGAAGAAGAAGACGAAGAAGAAGACGAAGAAGAAAAGAAGAAGAAGAAGAAGAAAAAGAGGAGAGAGGAGAAGAAGAAAGAAGAGGAAAAGGGAACCCCGGCAACCCGAAACUGACCCUCGACCCCCGACCCGUGAUGCCCGACGCCACUGACCCCCG
rnacentral:lncRNA from 1 species